UACAGAGGUCCCAAGCGUUGUUCGGAUUCACUGGGCGUAAAGGGUGCGUAGGUGGCUUGGUAAGUUCGAUGUGAAAUCUCCGGGCUUAACCCGGAAAUGGCAUUGAAUACUAUUGAGCUGGAGGUUUGGAGGGGGACUGGAAUUCUCGGUGUAGCAGUGAAAUGCGUAGAUAUCGAGAGGAACACCAGUGGCGAAGGCGAGUCCCUGGACAACACCUGACACUGAGGCACGAAAGCUAGGGGAGCAAACAGGAUUAGAACCCAUACCGUACGAGACCAAG
rnacentral:rRNA from 1 species